rnacentral:misc_RNA from 1 species
AACCUAGCACACCUGCGGUGUGUACCUGCGGAAGGAUCAUUACCGAGUUUACAACUCCCAAACCCCAAUGUGAACGUUACCAAUCUGUUGCCUCGGCGGGAUUCUCUUGCCCCGGGCGCGUCGCAGCCCCGGAUCCCAUGGCGCCCGCCGGAGGACCAACUCCAAACUCUUUUUUCUCUCCGUCGCGGCUCCCGUCGCGGCUCUGUUUUAUUUUUGCUCUGAGCCUUUCUCGGCGACCCU